ACAAAAGUGUGUAGAUGUGCUCGAAAUAUACCGACAGACAUAGCAGCAAUUCAAGACUGUGCAAACAAGACAUUUUCAAAUGCGUAUUUCUUCUAUCAAGAGUAUCUAGGACAUGUAUCAGCAGGACAAGGAGGACACUGUACAACCUUAAAAUGCAUGUCAGGAAAAAAUAAUCUGAUAGCCCUUGACUGUUCAUCAACAAUUCCAGCGGGACGAUGUGGAAAUGAAGAGAUUGUAUGGACAAAGCCGUAUUUAAAAAGCUGUAAUUAUUGCAUCAAGGACCAAAACUCAUUGUUAUUAGAACCUUCAACAUACUGUUCGAAAAAUUGGGACCAAGGAACUAUAUCUUGGACAAACGUUUUCCGUAAUGUCUGUCAUUGUCAGCUUUCGAAAGCGGAAGUUGGGAACGAAAUUCCACUGCAAUGUUUAGCAGGUCAAUUAGUGAAUCAUGAUGGUGAAUGGAAGCUGAACGAAACUAAAAGGGAUUGUUCUAAAGGAUUACAUUGGUAUUUGUGUAAGAA